AUAGCUCACUGCAGCUUCAAACUCCUGGGCUCAGGGAGGCUCCUUCUGCCUCAGCCUCUUGAGUAGCAGGAACUACAGGCAUGUGCCAAUGUGCCACAGUGCUUUGCGAAUUUUCUUUCCUUUUUUUUUUUUUUUUUUNUCAGAGAUGGAGUCUUUCUGUGUUUCUCAGGCUGGUUUCAAACUCCUGGCCUCAUACAAUCCUCCUGCCUCAGCCUCUAGACUAGCCAGAUUGCAAGCACAAACUACCAAGCCCUGAUCAAGUGUGUAUCUUCUACAGCCAGUCCUCCAUCUCAUUUGGAUUUUUCUGACUUUAUGAGAUAUUUUCUUAGCUGCCCUGACUCCAGUUUUCCCUGUUUCCAGAAGAGUUUUACAUAGGACAUUCAAUGUCUUGUAACACUAACCUCCCCCUCCAAGGCAGCACAGCACAAAGGCUGUGAGAUAGCUCAAGUGCCACUUCUAUCUGAAAGCCACUCCAUGAUCAUCCCUGUCGGAGACCAUCUAGGCCUCCUUGAAAAUUGUAUUGCUCUUUGUUACUGUCCUAUGGGACUUAUGGACUAUGUGACAAGAAUGUCACAUUUUUGUUCCAUUUUUUGUUUUCCUAAAUUUUAAGCUCAAUGACUGAGAGGAUGUGCUCAUUCUUCCUUCAUAAAUUCCACUGUUUCUGAUACAGGUUUUAAAAUUGCUCCACGUUCUGAAACAUAGUUUGAAUCACUGAAGGAAAAGAAUUUUACAUGUACUAAAACAGAGCAAACAUGUUUUUACGUCAAUAAGUUUCUAAACCCU
rnacentral:lncRNA from 1 species